rnacentral:lncRNA from 1 species
UGAAGGACCUGAAAAGGCCGAAUUCUUCUGGGGAAAAGAAAAUAAAUCGGCGGUGGCGAGGCUGUUCGUCCGUCGUCCAUUCUUGUUGAUCCUGUGGUUCCGUCGGGGCACUGUCUGUACAAAAUCUUCACGGUUUGUAGAACCGCUCCGCAUGUUUUUUCGCUUGAACUGAGUCCAUUUGAUCUGUUGGGUCUGUACAAUCCCUGUACCUGAGUCCAUUCGGAGAACUACGUUAUUAUAAGGAUAAUGAAUCACACAAAGGAUUUUUCUUUGUGCUGCUUUCAACUUGGUCCGUCUGCUCGAUUGGUGCGCAGCCUUGGGCCCGGCGUGUGUGCGCUUGUCGCAGGCGUAUCGGUUUUCGGC